CUUUAUCAUAAAUGAAAUUGUGGCUUGCUCCACUAUCAAUCAUAAUGGUGACUGGUGAACCCUUAAUUGUCCCAGGUAAUUUCAUAGUCUGAAGAGAAGAAAAACCUCCCAUAGAAUAAAAUGGCAACUCCAUGCAAGAAAAAAGGGCUUCAUCAGUUAUCUCUAGAGUAGUGGAAUCAACCUCCACAGCCCCAAACUCGCCUUCUUGUUCCGGAUUGACUACUUAAUUUUCACCAAUAAUUAGAGCCCUUAAAGUUUUGUUUGGGCACUCAUGCAUGGGAUGGAAGGGUUGCCGACACAUAUAACACAACCCCUUUGCCCGUAAUUCCAGAAAUUCUUGAUGUGUAUACUGUCUUGUUCCCCUGGGUUUGUUGGCAAUUUGAGAUCGUGAAGCAGCUAGGGUUAUAAGGUUAGAAGCAUGUUGUAGGAACUUUGGUGGGCUAGCAGAUGCUUUGUCUAUAGGCUUUGGGGCUUGUAACUCAGGAUAUUUGGGCUUCUGAAAUUGGGUUAUGGGUCUAGCCAUUGGGGAAUAAGACUUUGGGGAAUUUAUUUGGUUUGAAUUGGGCCGAAGCCCUUGAUUUCG
rnacentral:misc_RNA from 1 species